GGCGAGAUAUUGUAAAGGUAACAUAAUUGGCUCAUGACCAAUUGAUUUAGGUUCGAAUCCUAAUUUUGCCU